rnacentral:lncRNA from 1 species
GAAAACACUACGCGUGCGCAAGUCUCGAGAAAGCGCUACGCUAUGCGCCAGCCUCGGCGCCACACUGCGCAUGCGCUAGUCUCGAUGAGGUACUACGCAUGCGCAAGUCUCGGCAGCGCACUGUGCAUGCGGCACCCCGUACACACCAUUUCGCAAGCGCGUUUUCGGGUACGCACCUACGCACGCGGUGUCUUCGGCUCCUCGUUACGCGUGCGACGGGCGCAGGGUACGCUGGGAGCCAAAAUAGUCAGAUCCCGGGGCAGGCUCGGGCGCAAAACCACCCGAGAAAAUAGACGAGGGGCAUCCUGGAUGAAAAAAGAGAAAAGUAUCGUUGAGCCGGAGGUCCAAGAACUGACUACUCGCCCGCAUCUCGAAGCAGCUCAGAAAUUGAUGCUAUUUAUAGGUUUUCUGGCGCAUGCAGCCUACUCUCUGGAGGACUGAGCAUGACAAAGAUCGGCGGAUUUGCUGCGCAGAGCGACGAGAAUGUACGUGCACCACUUCCUCGUGCCUGCGCGCAUGCGUCCUGCUGCCUGCGGCACCGACCAUACACGGCCGCGAUUCCGCCGAUCGGCCAUGCGGGGGCGCCAAAGACCGCGGAAACAACAACAACGAGCGAGUUGACGCCGACCGGCAGCGCAGCCCCUGUUCUUGUUCUCGUGCGGGCAGAGGAGAAACGCGAAGUUAGGUGGGGAGUGAGGGGAGAAAAAAAAUUAAAAAAAGAUGAAUAAAACCAAGGAAAACAUCAAACAAAGCUCCUGAUUCUCAGCCUUCUCAGUCCUUUCUGAAAAUCCAGAGGCCUCCCUCUUGGCUCCACUGCUGGCCUGCAAAGCCCGAGCUUGCAGUCUGUUGAAAGUCCUUGUUACUAAAACUGCUGCUGGAAGGAAAACCUGAAAGUCUGGGGGAAUAUUUACCGGCACAUCAGAGCAGCUGAGACCCGAGGCCAGGAGCUCUUUGUGCUGACUGACUGCCACUGGCCUCAGUUCAUUCUGUUAGUCUCCCAGCAGUGCGUUUCCCACUCGUGAACCCUGGAGGUAGUGCCUUUUUUGCAGGCACGCGCUGCAGUGCUUUUUGCAGGCCGGAUGUUAGGAAGAAGUUAUUCUCACAAAGAGCGGCGCGGCGUUGGCACCGCAGCACCCCCAACGCAGCCACGCCCCUUCGCCCUCAUUGGUCGGCACUGCCACACGCACCCCCUCCCUCCCCGCGCAGAGCGGCACGGUUGGGUAAGGCGGUGCUUUGCGCCGUCGCGCACGCGCUGUGCGGAGUUGUGCGUAGCGGGCCCGGGGAAAUGUUCCGCCGGCCCCCGCGCAACUUCCGCGGCCGGCAACGCGCGGCCUCCAGCGGCAGCAGCGGCGACGAGCGAGGGUUGGCCUCCGCCCCGCCGCUGGGCCGCGGCCGCGACGAGGAAGCGGGGUCCGAGGAGAGCGAGGAGGAUCGCGGCGGCACCGCCUCGUCCCGUGAGGCGGCCCGAACCGCCGCGGAGCGGCCGCUGCCCUCGGGGGAGCCG